CCAAGGAGUCUAACAUGUGCGCGAGUCAUUGGGUCUUGCUCAGGCCCAAAGGCGCAAUGAAAGUGAAGGCCGGCCCGGUCGGCUGCGUUGGGAUCCCGCACACUUUGUGCGGGCGCACCAACGGCCCGUCCCGAUCGCCGCGUCGACGGGGCGGAGUGAGAGCGUACACGUUGGGACCCGAAAGAUGGUGAACUAUGCCUGGGCAGGACGAAGCCAGAGGAAACUCUGGUGGAGGUCCGCAGCGAUUCUGACGUGCAAAUCGAUCGUCAGACCUGGGUAUAGGGGCGAAAGACUAAUCGAACCAUCUA
rnacentral:rRNA from 1 species